UACGUAGGGUGCAAGCGUUAAUCGGAAUUACUGGGCGUAAAGCGUGCGCAGGCGGUGAUGUAAGACAGGUGUGAAAUCCCCGGGCUUAACCUGGGAACUGCAUUUGUGACUGCAUCGCUGGAGUGCGGCAGGGGGGGAUGGAAUUCCGCGUGUAGCAGUGAAAUGCGUAGAUAUGCGGAGGAACACCGAUGGCGAAGGCAAUCCCCUGGGCCUGCACUGACGCUCAUGCACGAAAGCGUGGGGAGCAAACAGG
rnacentral:rRNA from 1 species